CUAAGGCUAAAUACGGUCACGAGACCGAUAGCGAACAAGUACCGUGAGGGAAAGUUGAAAAGCACUUUGGAGAGAGAGUUAAAAAGUACGUGAAACCGUCGAGAGGCAAACGGGAGGGCCUGUCGGGUCGUUCGGUCGCUUUCAGGCGGGCCGGAGACCGGGUCGCGGGAUCGGGGACCUUCGCGGGCCUCGACUCGCGUCGCCGGCCGACGGCUCGGCGCACUAGCGUCGGACGAGGGCCGCGACCGGCUGGGCGGCGGGCAAACGGCCCCGGGCAAGGUAACCCCGCUUCGGCGGGGUGCUACAGGCCCGGUGCGCGCAAGGGUCGCCACCCGGUCGAGGAGAGAUGCGCGCCGCACCUGCCCCGUUCGCGGGGCCGGGGAAGCCGUUCGAGCAGCGUCGUGUCGCGGUCCGGGACUGUCCUCAGUCCCGGGUCGUCUCGGCGCGGUUCCGAGCGGUCGCUCCCUCGCGAGGUGCCGCGGGUCAGCGGCUGACGCCAGCCACCUUCCCGACCCGUCUUGAAACACGGACCAAGGAGUCUAACAUGUGCGCGAGCCGCGGGGCAGUACGAAACCCGUAAGGCGAAAUGAAGGUGAACGCCGGCGCGGUCCGGCGGAGGUUGGAUCCCGUCCCGUCGGGGCGGGCGCACUACCGGCCGAUCUUCUCCGCCCUGUCGGCGAGGUCGAGCGAGAGCGUGCAAGUCGGGACCCGAAAGAUGGUGAACUAUGCCUGA
rnacentral:ncRNA from 1 species